rnacentral:rRNA from 1 species
CCUACGGGGGGCUGCAGUGGGGAAUUUUGGACAAUGGGCGCAAGCCUGAUCCAGCCAUUCCGCGUGAGUGAAGAAGGCCUUCGGGUUGUAAAGCUCUUUCGCAAGGGAAGAAAACUUAUCCUCUAACAUAGGAUGAGGUUGACGGUACCUUGAUAAGAAGCACCGGCUAACUACGUGCCAGCAGCCGCGGUAAUACGUAGGGUGCGAGCGUUGCUCGGAAUUACUGCGCGUAAAGCGUGAACUCAGUGGUGAAAGCCCCGAGCUCAACUUGGGAACUGCGUUUGAAACUACAAGACGAGAAUAGGUCAGAGGGGGGUAGAAUUCCACGUGUAGCAGUGAAAUGCGUAGAGAUGUGGAGGAAUAUCAAUGGCGAAGGCAGCCCCCUGGGAUCAUAUUGACGCUCAUGCACGAAAGCGUGGGGAGCAAACAGGAUUAAAUACCCGAGUAGUC